rnacentral:rRNA from 1 species
CCCUUAGAUGUCCGGGGCUGCACGCGCGCUACACUGAAGGAAUCAGCGUGCUAGAAAACCUUGUUUGACAUGGCUAGGUAACCCGUUGAAAAUCUUUCGUGAUUGGGAUCGGGACUUGCAAAUGUGUCCCUUGAACGAGGAAUUCCCAGUAAGUGCGGGUCAUAAGCUCGCGCUGAUUACGUCCCUGCCCUUUGUACACACCGCCCGUCGCUGCCCGGAACUGAGCCGUUUCGAGAAGACUGGGGACUGCGAACUUUGGGCUGGAAAACAGCUUUUUGUUUGUGGAAACCACUUUAAUCGCAGCGGCUUGAGCCGGGCAAAAGUCGUAACA